rnacentral:rRNA from 1 species
UACGAAGGUCCCAAGCGUUAUCCGGAUUUAUUGGGUUUAAAGGGUGCGUAGGCGGGUUAUUAAGUCAGUGGUGAAAGCUCCCAGCUCAACUGGGAAACUGCCAUUGAUACUGAUAGUCUUGAGUAUGAUUGAAGUGGGCGGAAUGUGUCAUGUAGCGGUGAAAUGCUUAGAUAUGUAUUAGAACACCGAUUGCGAAGGCAGUUCACUAGGCGUGUAUUGACACUGAGGCACGGAAAGCGUGGGGAUCAAACAGG